AUUGAACGCUGGCGGAAUGCUUUACACAUGCAAGUCGAGCGGCAGCGCGGGGCAACCUGGCGGCGAGCGGCGAACGGGUGAGUAAUACAUCGGAACGUACCCUGUUGUGGGGGAUAACGAAUCGAAAGAUUCGCUAAUACGGCAUACGAUCUGAGGGUGAAAGUGGGGGAUCGCGAGACCUCACGCGAUAGGAGCGGCCGAUGGCGGAUUAGCUAGUUGGUGGGGUAAAGGCCCACCAAGGCGACGCAUCGUAGCGGGUCGGAGAGGACGGCCCGCGACGCUGGAACUGAGACACGGUCCAGACUCGUACGGGAGGCAGCAGUGGGGAAUUUUGGACAAUGGGGGCAACCCUGAUUCAGCCAUUCCGCGUGAGUGAAGAAGGCCUUCGGGUUGUAAAGCUCUUUCGGCAGGAACGAAACGGUCCUAGUUAAUACCUGGGGCUAAUGACGGUACCUGAAGAAGAAGCACCGGCUAACUACGUGCCAGCCGCCGCCGUAA
rnacentral:rRNA from 1 species